AUUGAACGCUGGCGGCAUGCCUUACACAUGCAAGUCGAACGGCAGCACGGGAGCAAUCCUGGUGGCGAGUGGCGAACGGGUGAGUAAUACAUCGGAACGUGCCCAGUUGUGGGGGAUAGCCCGGCGAAAGCCGGAUUAAUACCGCAUACGACCUACGGGUGAAAGCGGGGGAUCGCAAGACCUCGCGCAAUUGGAGCGGC
rnacentral:rRNA from 1 species